GAAUACUAGGAAGAAAAUGGUUGUGAAAUUCGACACAACGGUGAAGGAACGGAUAAGAGAGUACGUCCGUCGACCAGCUAAAAAAUGUUCUGAUGAAGUGACUGAUGACUUCAAUUCAGAAUCUGAAGCAAGCCUCGACAUCCUGGUCAAUAUGGUGUCAAUCCUACCACAAGAAUACAAGUGUGUGACUAAAGUCGAAGGGUCACUGGACAAUGCUGACGCUGAAGAAAUGGC
rnacentral:lncRNA from 1 species